CUGCUAGAUUGCAUUAAUCAUAAACAAGCCAAAGGUAUUCAGAGUUUGGAAACUGUGCAAGGUGUGCAAAUACCAAUUAUCACAACAAUGGGAUUUUAGGUGUUUGCAGAUUAUGCACUUUUUUUCUCUAAUGCACCAGAUCUGUAAUCAUCUAGCAGUGUUCGUGUGAAGCACUGUGUUUGGUGUGAGGGUAGAGGAGCACAGAGAAAUAAAGGGUAUUAGAGUAGCCUCAGGCACGACUGCAUCUUUCAAGUGGAGAGGGAGCAUAUCUGGGCAUGUUAGUGGGCUGAUGGGGACCCGAGUCCUGAGGUUGUAUCUUAGAGCAUCUUGGCAAGAAUCCACAUGGCCUGUUUGUGCAGGUGCAUCAUAAAUUUCUUGGGGGCUCAACUGAUGUGAAAUGAGCCAAGUGUGAAAUAAGGAGCAGUGCAUAUUCUCAUGUGAUCAUGAACAGAGGUGUGUUACUUCAGGGCAACAGAGGUUAGACUUUACAUAGAUGCUCUGCUUCUCUCCAUACUCUCUUAUCCCAUCUUAUCAUGUAUCGGGCAUCUAUUAUCGCAAAGCGAAGUCAGACAUCUUCCCAGUGGAGUCCUUUAGAAGAACCACCUGCAGAUUUUCUUCUGUUGGGAAAUGUGUGGCUGCUUUUAUGUCUUUGUGAGUGACAUGAGCUUGUCUGGCAGGUUAUCCAGUGACAUGCUGAUGCAUUAUUCUUAUACUGCUCAAAUCCAGAGGAUGAUGUCUGAUGCCCUGAUUUGACGUCACAGCCUUCAAAGGCCUUCAGUCUUUGAAUCAGUGGCAGGCGGGUCUCAAUGGAGAGAAACGUGUCUGAGGAAAGAAGCAGUGCUGAGGAGAGAAGUGGAGGCCAUCCAGAUUGGACAAUAAAAGGCGGCAGCCGCUGUGAGUUUGGAGUGCACUUCAGUGACCUCUCAAGGAUGGUGGCCUGCUCCCGUCUUGUAAUUACCUGUGCUCUCUGCUAUGCUAGCGUGAAGCUGCCAUAGCAGAUGGGAGUCGGUGCCGAUGCAGAGUUCAGUCGAAGUCUCAGAUGUGCUGCCAAGUUCUGAUCUUAACUUGGUGAACGAUAAUAUGCCCUCUGGUGAUCAUUUUGGCAACUGUGAUUGUUUGUGGAAAUGUAGCAGCUGCCUUCAGAGUCAAACUUCUCAAAUGGUUAAUUGAUUAAUAGCAACCCAAUAAACAUCCUGCGUAGCGCA
ensembl:lncRNA